rnacentral:rRNA from 1 species
AUGAACGCUGGCGGCGUGCCUAAUACAUGCCAGUCGAGCGAACAGACGAGGAGCUUGCUCCUCUGACGUUAGCGGCGGACGGGUGAGUAACACGUGGAUAACCUACCUAUAAGACUGGGAUAACUUCGGGAAACCGGUGCUAAUACCGGAUAAUAUAUUGAACCGCAUGGUUCAAUAGUGAAAGACGGUUUUGCUGUCACUUAUAGAUGGAUCCGCGCCGCAUUAGCUAGUUGGUAAGGUAACGGCUUACCAAGGCGACGAUGCGUAGCCGACCUGAGAGGGUGAUCGGCCACACUGGAACUGAGACACGGUCCAGACUCCUACGGGAGGCAGCAGUAGGGAAUCUUCCGCAAUGGGCGAAAGCCUGACGGAGCAACGCCGCGUGAGUGAUGAAGGUCUUCGGAUCGUAAAACUCUGUUAUUAGGGAAGAACAAAUGUGUAAGUAACUAUGCACGUCUUGACGGUACCUAAUCAGAAAGCCACGGCUAACUACGUG